AAAUAUGAAGGCUUCGGCUGGAUUAUUUUUAUCACCCUUGUCUUUUGCGCACUUGUUGUUUCCUGGGCGGGUUCGCCCGCCACCAGGACCACACCAUAAACCUUUUUUAUGCAGUUGCAAUCAGCGUCAGUAUAACAAAUGUAAAUCAUUUACAACUUUCAACAACGGAUCUCUUGGUUCUGGCAUCGAUGAAGAACGCAGCGAAAUGCGAUACGUAGUGUGAAUUGCAGAAUUCAGUGAAUCAUCGAAUCUUUGAACGCACAUUGCGCCCUUUGGUAUUCCAAAGGGCAUGCCUGUUCGAGCGUCAUUUGUACCCUCAAGCUUUGCUUGGUGUUGGGCGUCUUUUGUCUUUGGCCUCGCCCAAAGACUCGCCUUAAAACGAUUGGCAGCCGGCCUACUGGUUUCGCAGCGCAGCACAUUUUUGCGCUUGCAAUCAGCAAAAAGGACGGCAAUCCAUCAAG
rnacentral:rRNA from 1 species